rnacentral:rRNA from 1 species
ACGCUCGACACCUACGGGAGCAGCAGUGGGGAAUAUUGCACAAUGGGGGAAGCCCUGAUGCAGCGACGCCGCGUGAGCGAAGAAGUAUUUCGGUAUGUAAAGCUCUAUCAGCAGGGAAGAAACUGACGGUACCUGACUAAGAAGCACCGGCUAAAUACGUGCCAGCAGCCACGGUAAUCUGAGCGGGCUGGCAAGGC